GCCGCCAUGGCGCAGUGGUAACGCGUCGCACUUGUAAUGCGAAGAUCCCUAGUUCAAUUCUGGGUGGCGGCA
rnacentral:tRNA from 1 species